rnacentral:tRNA from 1 species
GUGGAUGUGCUGGAGUGGUUAUUGGGCAUGAGUAGAAAUUAUGUGGGCUUUGCCUGUGCAGGUUCGAAUCUUGCUGUCCAUG